GNCCUCAGAUCGGACGAGAUUACCCGCUGAAUUUAAGCAUAUAACUAAGCGGAGGAAAAGAAACUAACAAGGAUUUCCCCAGUAACGGCGAGUGAAGCGGGAAGAGCCCAGCACCGAAUCCCUCAGUGUCACGCUGACGGGAACUGUGGUGUGUGGGACGCCACCAGUCGCAUCAGAGGGCGCCGAAGUCCUCCUGAUCGGGGCUUCACCCAGAGCGGGUGUAAGGCCUUUGCAGGUGCCUCUCUGUGCGGCCGCGAGCGUCUCAGGAGUCGGGUUGUUUGGGAAUGCAGCCCAAAKCGG
rnacentral:rRNA from 1 species